rnacentral:rRNA from 1 species
GACGAACGCUGGCGGCGUGCUUAACACAUGCAAGUCGAACGGAAAGGCCCUGCUUUUGUGGGGUGCUCGAGUGGCGAACGGGUGAGUAACACGUGAGUAACCUGCCCUUGACUUUGGGAUAACUUCAGGAAACUGGGGCUAAUACCGGAUAGGAGCUCCUGCUGCAUGGUGGGGGUUGGAAAGUUUCGGCGGUUGGGGAUGGACUCGCGGCUUAUCAGCUUGUUGGUGGGGUAGUGGCUUACCAAGGCUUUGACGGGUAGCCGGCCUGAGAGGGUGACCAGCCACAUUGGGACUGAGAUACGGCACAGCCUACUACGGGAGGCAGCAGUGGGGAAUAUUGCACAAUGGGCGGAAGCCUGAUGCAGCAACGCCGCGUGCGGGAUGACGGCCUUCGGGUUGUAAACCGCUUUCGCCUGUGACGAAGCGUGAGUGACGGUAAUGGGUAAAGAAGCACCGGCUAACUACGUG